UCCACUACUCGGUUGUUAGAGUACGAAGCUCUUAACCUUGUGGACGUGGGUUCAAGCCCCAUGGUGGAG
rfam:Triticum aestivum genome assembly, contig: Triticum_aestivum_CS42_TGACv1_scaffold_569419_7AS